CCUCGAGCCGCCCCACACCACCAAGCACCGCCGGAUCCCCACCCCACCACGCGCCGCCGGAGCCUCGCCAUACCACGCGCUGCCCCCUCGCCCGCAGCGCCGCCCCCUCCCCCGCAGCACCGCCUCCCUCCCACCGCGAACCACCGCUGCAACGAGGCCAGCCAUCACCGGAUCCAGACAAACUACGCCCCCCACGCGACCCACCAUUGCCGGCUCGGAGCCUGCAAGGCCUCGCGCGAGCCGCCCCCUAUCCCUCCAUCACAUGGGGUCGCCCGCCUUCUCCUCCUCCCUCGUUCAGAUCGUGCCAUGGUGAACUUUCUCCUCGUUGCAGUCUCCGGUCAGGGCGUCAUCCAUGGUGCACGGGUGCUGCCCCACCCCUAUGCAGCUCGGUCGCCACCCCCUGUGCAACUCGGUUGCGUCCGUCUCUCCUUUCCCCUCACCCACGCCGAUUAGGGGAGCGAGGAGCGGCGGCGGAGGAGCUUUCUCAUGGCAAAGGGAGGUGCGGGCGCACGGGGCUCCACCGGCGGCAUCUGUAGUUCAAUCCAUGCAAGAUGAGAUGAUCCUCCUCCUGGCCGAACAGUUCAGAAAGAAGGAUUGUGCUCACAGUAUGCAGGUGUUGUGGUCGUGCAUCUCGGAAAUGCUCGCGAUGCCGUUCAGAGCUUGUGCCCGUGCAGUACGGCGAGCGCCAUCUCUUCCCAUUGGUCGGUGGACCAUGGCCGUGCAGCUCGGAGAUGCUCGCCAUGUGGUUCGGGACUUGUCUGUGUGCAGUCGGGAGAGCGCCAUCUCCAUCUCUUCCCGUGUGGUCCGUCGACCAUGGUUGUGCAGCUCGCAGACCCUCGUCGUUCGGUUCAGGGCUCAUGCGUGUGCAGUCCUGCGAGGGCCAUCUCUUCCCUUGCUCGUAAGGUUCUUUUGAUUAUGUUCGGCUAAUUGAGAUUUUGCUUUUUUUUGGUUGGUUUUGCUGGUGACAGGGGUUCUGGAGGUACCUUCUGAAGAAGGAUCUUGAUGCCCGGUGUCUGCAAGGGUUCUGUUGCGCCGUGUUUGGGCUCGGCGAUUCAGGCUACCAAGAGUACAAUGUUGCUGCAAAGAAGCUCCGUACAAGGCUUUCACAGCUUGGUGCAAAAUCGAUCAUAGGGAUUGGAUUGGGAGAUGACCAAGACUCUUCAGGAUAUGAAAAAGCUCUAGGUCCUUGGCUACUAUCUUUGUGGAAAUCACUGAAUCGAACAAAUCCGUUGCUUUUACCAAGAAUUCAGGCCCGUCCGCGUGCACUCAGACGAGCGUCCAAGCACUCCGAUGAGUGUCUGUGCACAUCAGCGCCUCUACAACAAACAUUUAGAAAAAAGAGGAUUCCCCUAGUGUGGAAAAUGGAUAGCUCUGGAAUCUACUCCUCACAGUGGUUAUAUGCUGCUUUCCACUUCUCUGUGUAGUGAGUUGUAUUUUGUGUGUGGAUGAUUGUAACAUGGAGACGGAAGAAAAGAAAGGGAUGCAAUUUUGUUACACUGCAUCAUGGUUAUUGCUCAGUUUGUAAUUUCUUUCAUUGUAAAAGCAGUGCACUUGGUGAACCGAAGAAGUACAUUUUUUCAAA